UCGAGGCGGGUCUCAGCCCGAUGCCUCAAGGUAUGCCCGUAGGGGGUAGUGUUAGGGUUUUUGGAAAUCAUUUAGAGUACUAACUAAUGUCGGUGUUUUCGUGUAGACAUGGUGAAUCUCAGAUCCGUGCGCGGGGGGCGGGCUUUGUCGAUUUCGUCUUUUCGCCCACCGAUCGAGUCGAGGAUUGGGUCAAAGGACGCGCCGGUGGAGGUCGAGGGUGGCCGGCCUUGGGAAAAAAUGAGGGUCUGCAUCGCGAAGGGAUCCAAUGUGGCGGCGGCCCCAUCGGGAGGAGCCUCUGCCGAACCGACCGAUCGGAGGAGCCUCAAGCGCGUUGAGGCUGGUUCCAGUAAGGAGGGGGGGAGGGGGGGAGGGGGGUGCUAAGGCGCCUCGGGAGCCUUCCGUCCGUGAACUCUACCGCCUCCCCGCAGGCAUAAAGGAUGAGCCUUAUCAGGCUCAAGCGAUGGGUGACCUCCCGGAGGGCCAAGCCUCCGACCUACUAGUGGCUCGUUGGGGGAACUUGUCUCGUGGGGACCGGGUAUGGGCCAACGGGGAUUCCGCGGCUUUGUUUGCCCGAGGAGGUCUCCAUCCCGACAUGGCUCGGGAGUUGUACAUCUUAUCCUCCAGAGCCCUUCUUGGCAGGUCUGCCAAGUCGUUGCUGUGGGGCCAUCACUACGCUAUGGCGCUGAUGGACCGCCUGCGCGAUGCUGGUCAGGUCAUUGGUGACCUGAGUGACUGCAACGUUGAUCUGCGUAGGCAGGUAGAGGAGAUCUGUGUGGGAGCGGGUUCUGAGGCGGUGGCUGCGGCUGAGCAGCCGCGUCAGAUCUGGAGGUGGAAGCGACGUGUCUUCAGUCUUAGCUCAAGGCGACCGAGGAGCAGAACAAAGAGCUCCAAUCGUACCUGAAGGCGGCUCGGGCCGAGAUCCGCUUGGCGAAGGGGGAAUCGGUUGCGCUGACCUAGAGGCUGGAGGAGGCGCGCGGGGCUUCCGAGGCCCUGGAUGACGAGAUUCGUCAAAGGCCGGAGAAGGACAAGAAGCUGAUCGAGGCCUACAAGGAGUCCUCGGGCUUUCAGCUCGGUCUGAUCCGGCCAGGACAGGUUACCUAUGAGUAUGGGUAUCGGAUUUCCCUGGCCCGCUUCCGAGCACGCCACCCCGACCUCGAGGUCGCGGACGAUACCUUCGCCUCCUUUCCUGAGGACAUGGGCGUCGACAUGCCUGAAGAAGUCCCUUUUGAUGUCGAAACCCCCGAGAAAUAGGGUAGUCAUAUUGUAAUUUUUUCUAAUGGGGUUGGUCGGGUGUUGGCCGAUGCUGUAAUGUGUUGUCUGGUCCUGUAACGGAUUUUUGUUUAAAUGAAAAUUUUUUGUUCAGA